UACGAAGGGGGCUAGCGUUGUUCGGAAUUACUGGGCGUAAAGCGCACGUAGGCGGGUUGUUAAGUCAGGGGUGAAAUCCUGGAGCUCAACUCCAGAACUGCCUUUGAUACUGGCAACCUAGAGACUGGAAGAGGUUAGUGGAAUUCCCAGUGUAGAGGUGAAAUUCGUAGAUAUUGGGAAGAACACCAGUGGCGAAGGCGGCUAACUGGUCCAGCACUGACGCUGAGGAGCGAAAGCCAGGGGAGCAAACGGG
rnacentral:rRNA from 1 species